AUCAAAUGUUUUCCUCUUUGCUGUGGGUCUGUGUUUGGUUGCAAACGCAGCACUCGCAUCCGUCAUGGAUGUCUUGGAUAUAUCGUAAAACAGCCGACGGACCGAAUUGUUGGAUGAAGACGAUGAAGAUUUGCAGGAUGAAGAAUAUCCAUCGGCGGCUGAGGAAACCAACGCCGCUGGAUAUGCCGAUGAAUUGGAUGCUGACCAAGACGAUUCGGAUGGACGAAACAACGGCCAGCCUGUCGUCAUAUCAACGGGCGCUGAUGAUGCAAGUCUUUUAAACGAACCUAUCGCAGCCAAAGAUCCUCUCCGUCCGCCCAUUUGGCAAUCAGUUGGCAACGUCUCUGGCCAGGCCGUCACGUUCAAAGGAGUUCAGUGGCCUGGCGGAGGUUUGGCCGGCCCUCGUUCGCACAGCCGACGGGUGUACCGUGUGGCCACCAUUUUCUCGCCGCCUUUCGUCAUGGAGACGGAAGUGUUCAAGGAGGACGACGAAGAAGAAGAGGAGCAGCGUUGCCUGACUGGCGUGCCUUGCUUGCGGGUGACCACCGGUCAGAAAGACGAGCUGGCCCGCAUUUUUUGCGCGACUACGAAGGCG